rnacentral:rRNA from 1 species
AGUCAAUAGAUACCCCGGUAGUCCACGCCGUAAACGAUGAGUACUAGGUGUAGGAGGUAUCGACUCCUUCUGUGCCGCAGUUAAACACAAUAAGUACUCCGCCUGGGAAGUACGGUCGCAAGAUUAAAACUCAAAGGAUUGACGGGGGCCCGCACAAGCAGCGGAGCAUGUGGUUUAAUUCGAAGCAACGCGAAGAACCUUACCUAGACUUGACAUCUCCUGAAUAGCGCAGAGAUGCGUGAAGCCCUUCGGGGCAGGAAGACAGGUGGUGCAUGGUUGUCGUCAGCUCGUGUCGUGAGAUGUUGGGUUAAGUCCCGCAACGAGCGCAACCCCUAUUAUUAGUUGCUACCAUUAAGUUGAGCACUCUAAUGAGACUGCCCGGGUUAACCGGGAGGAAGGCGGGGAUGACGUCAAAUCAUCAUGCCCCUUAUGUCUAGGGCUACACACGUGCUACAAUGGUGAGAACAACGAGAUGCAAUACCGCGAGGUGGAGCAAAACUUGAAAACUCAUCUCAGUUCGGAUUGUAGG